rnacentral:tRNA from 1 species
AUUUAUAUAGUUUAAUAAAAAUAUUAUAUUUUCACUAUAAAGAUAAAUUUAAUUUUAUAAAUA